UUGCCUCUUGAGAAUCUUCAACAAUAUAAGUUAAAAUGUCCUCGGUCGAAGUUGAAGAUUCCUGUCCCUCAGUUUUUCUUGCAUUACCAUAUCCCUGUGGAUGAUCAUCUAACCCUAUUUCUGAUAAUUUCUGGGAUUCAUUCCUAUAUGUUCCAGAACUUGAGUCGUCAUCAUAAGGUUCCUCAAUCUGCAUAUAGUUCUGUUUCCAAGAAUCUUCUGUAUCUGACGAUGAAUCAGAGAAUUGCUCACCAAUUUCUUCUGCCUCCUCUACUGGUGACAUGAAACUUAGACGACAUGCUCGCGAGUAAUUUCUACUGUAAAAUAGUCUAGCACUAGUUUCUGGCUCA
rnacentral:misc_RNA from 1 species